rnacentral:rRNA from 1 species
UACGUAGGGUGCGAGCGUUAAUCGGAAUUACUGGGCGUAAAGCGUGCGCAGGCGGUUCGUUGUGUCGGUGGUGAAAUCCCCGGGCUUAACCUGGGAACUGCGUUUGAUACGGAUGGGCUAGAGUUCGGGAGAGGAGAGUGGAAUUCCCAGUGUAGAGGUGAAAUUCGUAGAUAUUGGGAAGAACACCAGUGGCGAAGGCGGCUCACUGGCCCGGUACUGACGCUGAGGCACGAAAGCGUGGGGAGCAAACAGGG